GAGACCGCUGGUGUUAAACCAGAGGAAGGCGAGGGCAACGACAGGUCAGUAUGCCCCGAAUGUCCUGGGCUACACGCGCGCUACAAAGGACGGGACAAUGGGAAGCUAGGCCGAGAGGCCACGCUAACCCGAAACCCGUUCGUAGUUCGGAUUGAGGGCUGUAACUCGCCCUCAUGAAGCUGGAUUCCGUAGUAAUCGUGUUUCAACAUAGCACGGUGAAUAUGCCCCUGCUCCUUGCACACACCGCCCGUCA
rnacentral:rRNA from 1 species